rnacentral:rRNA from 1 species
CCUACGGGAGGCAGCAGUAGGGAAUUUUCCGCAAUGGGCGAAAGCCUGACGGAGCAAUACCGCGUGAGGGAUGACGGCCUGUGGGUUGUAAACCUCUUUUCUCAAGGAAGAAGUUCUGACGGUACUUGAGGAAUAAGCAUCGGCUAACUCUGUGCCAGCAGCCGCGGUAAUACAGAGGAUGCAAGCGUUAUCCGGAAUCACUGGGCAUAAAGCGUCUGUAGGUUGUUUAGUAAGUCUGCUGUUAAAGACUGGGGCUUAACCCCAGAAAAGCAGUGGAAACUGCUAGACUCGAGUGUGGUAGAGGUAGAGGGAAUUCCUAGUGUAGCGGUGAAAUGCGUAGAUAUUAGGAAGAACACCAAUGGCGAAGGCACUCUACUGGGCCAUAACUGACACUGAGAGACGACAGCUAGGGGAGCAAACGGGAUUAGAUACCCCGGUAGUCCUAGCCGUAAACGAUGGAUACUAGAUGUUGCACGUAUUAACCCGUGCAGUAUCGUAGCUAAGGCGUUAAGUAUCCGCCUGGGAAGUACGCUCGCAAGAGUGAAAACUCAAAAGUAGUAAGUUGGACGGUCGUAGAGACGUCGACCGACGACGACGACGAGGGAGGAGG